rnacentral:rRNA from 1 species
UCUUCUUUGCUGGCGACCGGCGCACGGGUGAGUAACACGUAUCCAACCUGCCUUUACUCGGGGAUAGCCUUUCGAAAGAAAGAUUAAUACCCGAUAGUAUAAUGAUUCCGCAUGGUUUCAUUAUUAAAGGAUUCCGGUAAAGGAUGGGGAUGCGUUCCAUUAGGUUGUUGGUGAGGUAACGGCUCACCAAGCCUUCGAUGGAUAGGGGUUCUGAGAGGAAGGUCCCCCACAUUGGAACUGAGACACGGUCCAA